rnacentral:rRNA from 1 species
CUGGCUCAGGACGAACGCUGGCGGCGUGCCUAAUACAUGCAAGUCGUGCGGACCUUUUAAAAGCUUGCUUUUAAAAGGUUAGCGGCGGACGGGUGAGUAACACGUGGGCAACCUGCCUGUAAGACUGGGAUAACGCCGGGAAACCGGGGCUAAUACCAGAUCGUUUUUUCCUCCGCAUGGAGGAAAAAGGAAAGGCGGCUUCGGCUGC